AAGGGCGUUAUCCUGGGGGACUGGGAGUGGAAACUUUCCUCCCGGGAAAGGAAGAAACCCGACUGGAGAAAGACUCACUCAGUCUAAACCGCAGCCCCUGGAAUUGGUAGGCAAAACAGCUGUGCUGAAUUAACUGGGGAUCUGGGGCCGACCAUUUGAAAGUCUGCUCUUCUUCCAAAGCGAGUCUGGGGCCCUGCCUGAUGCUGGACUCUUACAUGGUAGGAGAGUGAGUCACCCAAAGAGAGAGGCGGCGGGAGACCGGAAAGUGGAAAUACAAAGAUGCCUUGGAAAGCUAAUUUGGUUCACGUUACAUUUCAGUCACCUUAGGUUCAUGAGUCAACAUUUCGGAUGAUUCAGGCCUUCUGGGAGUCAGGAAGCCCCAUACUCAUUGGUUUGAUACGCAGGAAUAAGCAUGAUCCCCAUUCCACUUUUUCUGAGGCUGGAGAGUUUAAAGAAAGUAAUUGCAGAACAUCUAAGAAUCAGGAUCUUUCUGAUUUACCUUUCAAAAAUACUCACUGCAUGCCUACUCUAGAGGCCUUGCAGAGAAAAGGAUAACCCGCUUUCAAGUUGCUCAAAGUCUAAAUCUGUGCUGUACCUGACAGGUAUUGGCUACUUAGUCACUGGCUACUUGUGGCUACUGAUUGAACACUCAGAAUGUACGUAGCUAGGCUGAAAUUAGAUGUGCUGUGUCAAAUGCGCACUGGAUUUCAAGAAUUAGUACCCCCCAAAUGUAAAAUAUCUCCGCUUUCGUAUUGACUUAAUGUUGAAAUUGAUAUUUUGGAUAUAUUGGGAUAAGUAUAAUAUUAAGUUAAUUUUACUUGUUCUUUUUAAAGCAGCUUCUAGAGUAUUUUAAAUACAUACUGGCUCACAUUAUAUUUCUUUUGGACAGUGCUAGUCUAGAUUAAUAAUUAAGAAAUUUUGAUUGCCAUGGGGAAUCACUGGUUAUUUAAGCAAAUUCUUAGCUCCAACUAAUUUAUAUUACUGUGGCUUAAUUUGGGUAUUAAAGAAGAAAAGUAGGAGUUGGAGGGAGGGUUAAAUAGGUGGAACACAGAAGAUUUUGGGGGCAGUGAAACUGUUCUGUAUUAUCCUGUAUUGGUGGAUACAUAACAUUAUGCAUUUGACAAAACCCAUAGGACUAUACAACAGAAAGAGUGAACCCUAAUGUAGACUAUUGACUUUAGUUAAUGAUAUGUCAAUAUCAGUUCAUCAGUUGUAAUAAAUGUACCACUUCAAUGCAAUAUGUUAAUAAUAGAGGAAACUGGUUAGGGGGCAGCAGUGGGAGUGUAUGGAACUCUGCACUUCCUGUUCACUUUUUCUGUAAACCUAAAACUGCUCUAAGAAAUAAAGUCUGUGAACCUUUAAAAAAGGAAAAGAAUAAAGAUUUCCUGGCAAUGUUACUUGAUUGGGUUAAUUAUCAACAAGAUAUUCAAGACCUAUCACAUCAAUUCCACAGAGAACUGGCUUUAUUUGUACAAAACGUUUGUGACUUGCUUUGAGCUUGGUUUUAUUUUUUGGAGGGGUUGGGAAGAAUAGGAAGAGAGAUGUAUUGAUGUAGAAUUUUGGGGCGGGAGGUUAAAGCCAAAUGAAUUUAAACAAAACAAAUUUCUACAGUGAUGACUACAAGAGACAUAUUUGAAGUCUUUGUCAAAUAUUUAUCAAAAAUUAUCAACAAUUUGCCUGAUUUUCAACCAAUUGCAUACACAUACAAAAAUAUACUAACAAUAUUUUAUGGUAUGACCUUUUCUGUUGUCACAGUUUAGCUAUCAGCAGUUCAGUCUUCCCCUUAUGCUUUUCCCACUAUGAGUGUUCUGAUAAUCCUUAGUGAUAAGUUUCACAGGGCUUUUAUAUAGGUCUAAUAUAAAUAAGACUUACGUUAUUUGUAAGUUGUUUAUAUGAUAGUUCUACAUUCAUAUAUCCCUGUACCUACUACUACUAAAAUAGUCUCAAGGGAAUAUCUUUACUCAAAGUUUCACAAAAGAAUAAUUGUAAAUAGUAGAUUUACAAUUUUAAUAGGAAAUAACAGUUAAUAUUGAUGCAAUAAUAUAAGCACUAUCUGGUGCAGAGUAAAAAUAAAUUUUAUUAAUCUCAGUGACUUCUAAAAAAAUAAGUAUUUGAUAGAUAGAUGAGUAAAGAGUUUGCCCAGCGUUCAUAGAAUGAUCAAUAAAGCAAAAAGAAAGGAGGCUGUUGCUGCUCUACCACA